AUAAGCUAAAAUGUUGCACACUCAAUCUUUGGAAGAUAUAAACAAAACAUAUAUAUAGAUAGAUUAUCUUUCCAUAAGGUCGAGCAAUCUAAUCUGACAAAUGUUAAAUACUACACUCAUGAUUUUAUUAUCCAUCAACUUUGUCUUGCUCACUAUGCUUGAGGUUAGAGAAGAACAAAUACACUUUUGGUUCUGUUGGUGUUUUCCACCAACAGGGCCCAUGCACUUGAUCUCUACCUUGUCUCUAUGAGCAGGUACUCUUCGAGCAAAAUAUGAAGGACUUUUACAACUCCCAGACUCCACCAAGUGAAGAACCUAGAUCUACUAGCACAAACACACUGGAGAUACUGGACACUCAGGCAAUCACUGCCCUGAGAUGCUUGAGGACAUAACUACUGGAGUAACCCUAUUGUGGAAGUAAUUACUAACCUUCUGCCGGUCAAGAGAGACGAUCCAGGAUGCCCCGUCAUCCCGGUCUCCAUCGGCAUGGUGGACUUCCUAGAAGCACUCUACAACUUUGGCUCCAGCAUCAACAUUAUGCCCAGGGAAUAUUGAAGAACCUCUGCGUCCGAGUUGGGAGGCCAUUCCUAAACACUUCGGGAGCUGUCAUCUACGCUAGUGCUGCCAAGAUCAGUUUCUACAUCAGGGGGAUGAAGGAGACGUUUUCCUUCAAGAAACAAGACUACACAAAUCCCAGAGCAAUCCCGACAUGAACCAAGGAAGAGGACCAACAGGAGGAACAAGAACAAGCAAAUGUGUACCGCAUCAGCUAAGAUGGUCACUGCAGCUCAAGGAGGUCAAGAUCGUCAACUUAAGUCUCCGUUCCUAACCAAAAAGGACGACCCAAGUAUGCCAAGCAUCCAGUGCUCCAUUGAUGGAUACAACUUCCAGAAGAUGCUUUGCGACACCGGGUCAGGCGUCGACAUAAUGGCCGCCAGUCACCUAUCAUCUCCUAUUCGGAACCAUGCCCCUAAAACCGACAUACAUUCAGCUUCAGAUGGUAGAUCAGACAUUCUGAAAGAUUGAAGGUUAUUGACAUGGGAGAAGACGAGUACGAUCCACCCAUCAUCCUUGGAAGACCAUUCCUCAGCACUGUUAAAGCAAUCAUCUAGAUUGGAACCAGAGAAGUCCACAUGCACUUCCCCUCUAACAAGGUACGCCGCUAUUUUACUGACCUUAAUUAUAUAGUUGAAGACUCUAAGCAGGUCAGGACAAGAAGAAGACGACGCAACCGCAACCAGAGAAGGCAAAAUCAUCAAGGACGGAUGGGUAGACUAUGAUGGAGAAGUUGUAAGGUCUGAAGUCAUAUAACUUGAACAGAACUGUCCUGAGGAGACCGUAGCAUCGAGUCAGGUGUGGAGAAAAAAGAUAGUUAUACAUGAAGAGCAGGCUCCACCGGAACCACCGACUACGCCAUCCAGCGAAUCCCAGGACGACAGAGAAAAUGGAGAGUCCCGUUCGGAGGACUUAAAAACACCGAACGCCUUGCCAAGAGGUAAACUUGGUAGUUAUCCUUUCUCUUUUAAUUAUUUAAAAUAGUUUGCUUAGUUAAUCAGGUUCAUAUCAUCUUGAAAAGAAAAUAAAAAUGUUAAAAAUAGUAAGCCCCAUGUGAGUAUGCUCAUGGCAUAAAACCCAUAAGUACAUUCACUGUGGUGGCAUAAAAAUAAAAUAAAUAUAUUCCUAUCCUAUAAAAAUAAAAAUAUAAAAAUAAAUUCAUGAUCCUACUAAAGAGAGUAACAUUUAUUGAGGAGGCUCAACAUGAUAAAGGCUGGAUAUUUAUGCUAACACUUAACUAGUUCCACAAAGCUUUGUUGUCUAUUUGAGCUCCACAGAAUUCAAGGAUCAAAGAAGACUAGCAGACGGAGGACAUCCUAAUCGCUGUUAGGGUGUUGCUGACAUUCAAAUACACCUCCACCACUUGCUAGCUACAUUAGAAGAAACUAUGUCAAAAUCCAGCUUGGGGGAGAGCACCCCCAUUUAUCCAGCUAAGUAUUCUACUCACGUUUAUACUUUACUCUAAUAAUAAAAUGAUGCAUAAUCAUAGAAACCCAAAUAAAGAUUUUGUGCUUAUAUAUAUCUUUGCUUAGUUUGCUAAAUAAAUAAAUAAAUAAAGUUUGCUAUGAACCCUCAUGAUAAGCUCUCACAUGGAAAUGAUGAAUAGUUGCUCUACCAUGACUAGUUCUCAAAAUUGAAAUCUCUCUCAAGUUUAGGCAUGACUGUUAUUAAUUAAGAUUUGCUCUAAACCUGAACUUGUGGGAAGAGUACUUGAUCUAAAGUCUAAGUUGUUAACGGAUAUGAUAUGGGAAGGUUGAGCUGUUGUUUAUCUGUUCCUAGAGAUGCUAGAAUUCUAGAGAAUUUUAUUUUUGAAAAUAUUUCAAAAUAUUGCAUGAUGAGUUCCUGUAUGAUGAGAGUUCAAAUUCCUACCACAGCCAUAUAUACAUGCUUAUUAGACUAUGAACCACACAUUUACUUUUUACUGCAUAUGAGCAUUGAGUGUGGUCAAGCUGUGUAGACCCUUAGGAGCUUGUCAUGUGGUUAAAUCAAGAUUCACUUGCACGUUCACUCACACAUGCUACUUCUACUCCAGAAGUACCAUCCACAUAUAUCCAUCCAUUUCCAUCUCUAGAACCACCCAAAAAUAUUCUACUCCUAAUCCGGAAGAGAAUAGCCAAAAACAUUCUCCUAUUUCUGUUUUUCCCUAUAAAAUAAAUGCUCAAGUUAUCUUGGUUACUACCACUUGCUAUAUUAUUUCAGGAGAUGAGUGCUCUAAAAAAAGAGAAAAAAAGAAAGAAUAUGAGGAAAUAAAAAGGGGCAAGUGCCCGGAACCUCGAAAAAAAAGAGAGAGUGAGACGAUAGGUAAAAAUGGACAAGUGUCCGACAGUAGAAUUAGGGGUACAAGAUACCCACCUGAGAGAAAACAAAAAGAAAAUAUAGAGCAUCUCAUUCUCCUCAAAAAUUUUCAAAAGAGCAAGAAAGGUAUGUAUCCCCUCAAAAGAGCACAAGUAGAAUUAGACUUUCACCAUUAUUUUCACCAUUAUCACCAUUCAUUCGCCACACAUGCACAUCUUGAUUUGACUUAUUGACUUGUUCUUCUGGAUAAAUGAUUUGACUAUGCAAUAAAUGUCUUGUAAGUAUGUAUUAGGUGUCUCCCACCUAUGAGCUCUAGAUAUCAAAAACCUUAUUAGAAUAGGAUGAGAGAGAAGGCAAUGUCACUAUGCCUUAUACCACAAAAGAGAGACUAGAGAGAGUCAUACAAGGAAUCUCUGAGUUUUAUUUGAAAAUCUACAAAAAACUCCAGAGCUAUAGUUAAUCGAAGAACAAGAGACAUGGUGCUUGACUAGACCGUUCUAUCUUUUAACUGCUCAGGACAGAAGUGACGGUUACAAGUCCCAUGGUAAAAGGUAAUAUGAGUAAGUUUAAAUCUUGACAGUUUACCCUAACCCAGAGAUGAGAUCUUGUUUGAACGCAUGUAUAUCUUUAAGGCAUGAAACCACUGCAGAAACUCUUGAGUUCAUCUUUGCUCAGGGACGAGAAAAGGUUAAGCUUGGGGGAGCUUGUUGACGGUCCUUAAUGCUCACAUUUAACCAUCCACUAAUCAUGGAAAAGGAUCCAAAUGCAACCAACACCUAGACUGAGGGUUUUAUCUGACAGAAUUCCAUGAGUUUUGGUGUUUGUCUAUUUCUGCAGGGGGUUAUCAGGAAAUACGGAAGAAAGUCCCACAUGUCGGGUUUACAUAGAGAUAUUAACGUGCCGCG
rnacentral:lncRNA from 1 species